rnacentral:sRNA from 1 species
AUUUGAAAUCAUGGAUCAAAUCUAAAUGAAAGAAAAAGGCAACUGUUAAUGUGAAAAAGUACAAUAUGUCAUUCAUAGUUCUUGAAGAUAUGACUUUGCAAAUGUCAACAGGCUUGAAAUCAACAGAAUUUACCUGUAUCACAUCCAGAGUAGGUGAUGUCAUCAAUGGCGAUAUCUCCCAGGAAGCCAGACCCGGUCUUUGCCUCAAAGACGAUGGCAAACUGGCUGUUGCUGCGGAUCGGGAUGGUGGCCUGUUUCCAGGCGGUUCCCUGAUUGCCUGUCUUCUGCCACAGAGUCAGAAGCUGGUUACUGAUGCUGGUCUUGAGCAGGACUUGAAGAGUUCCGAUCUGUCGGCCAUUCAUGUUGUACCAGAAGGUGAGGUUACAGUUGGGUCCGGACUGGUAGUACACAGCACUCUCCAGGAGAGCCUUGUCCUGGGGGUGGGCCGGGUUGGAGCUCUCCACAUAUAGGUAGUGACCUAUUAUACAGUGUACCGUCAGUUUUAACAAGUCAAGAGUAUAGUACAUGUAAAUUAUCAUACACAAACACAUCUGAAUUCACACUCUUAAAGUAAACAGGGAUAGUCAUACGAUAUAUAAACAACUUUAAAAAACUUGUGAAGUACCUAAUACAUAAUGAAAUGGAAUCCACCACAAUACAUGCUUAUGAGCAAAAUAAAAAUGAAAAUGCUUUUCAUAUUGACCUGUUAAUGCAUUUUAAAAAACAAAAGUUCUAUGGACAUGUUUGUGAGGUUUUAAUAAUAAAUGUACUGUAAAAAAUGAAAAUACAUAAAUUAUAAAAAAUAAAGCCUUAAAGGCCCACUAACCAGCUGCUGUUCCAAAGGUGUGGUCAUUCUGGGGUCCUGUGCUCCGGCUGGGGGUGGGACCUGACAGUAGUUUCCAGUCCAAGUUGUCACUGAGAGAGUUAUGCCAGCCACAAAGUCCAGACUCAAAUUUACAGGAGGUACCUGAAACAUACAAUCUAGUUUGUCAGCAACCACAUUACAGUACAACAAUGAAAGGCUAGAUGUUGCUGGAUCUCAUUCAUGUGGCUUAAGUCUGGUUCUAAGUAAGUUUUUCAUUUGCUGGUAAAUUAAUGCUUCUUUAACAAUUAAUUGGCUAAUGUUCAUUUUAGUAAAAGACGAAUGAUAUGGUUAGCUCUAAGUAAGGGGUUUUAAUUGCUUCAUAAUAUUAUACCUAUCUAUAUUUAACUUCCAAUACAUGUAUUAUACACAGCCCCCCCCCCCCCCCCCCC